UCUCCUGUUUAUUGCAGCUAAUGAGAUCUAACAGGUAUUUUCACUGUCCCUGCAUGUUGACAUCCUGCUUGAGGUCAAGAGUAAACUCCCUGGAAAUACAGUGCAGUCAGAGGAUUGUACAGGGCCAAACUAUUCUACCCCAGCUGUUUACCUCGGGUUUUAAACCAGAACACAAAGUGGAAAAAAUGCCUAGGAACAAAGCCAGUUAGCAGCUAUAGGUACUGCUGGGUAAAAAUGUUGGAAAACUAAUUGAGAAAUGACCAGCAACAUUUAGAACUCUGAGAAACUUCUAUGUCAGAAAAGAAAGGGAGAACAUUGAUCAGUUCAUCUCAAUUUUCUUUUAUUUCUGUAAAUGCACUGAUUUUGAUGAGAAGUUCCCAUUAUGUCAGGUAAUGCUGAGCUGCUGAAACAGGCUGGUUUGGUAUUAUCUCAGUACAUGCCUUGGAUUUGAUGCUGAGUGUGAAUAUUGACUUUACUGUAUUUAAAGGCAUUUUGAUUUCUGCAUUUUUAAUCUGUUUUAAUUUCCUGUAAUAUUUCAUUGCAGGUUCUAACAAAUUAGGAUAUCUAGUAACAAUGGCUAAAAAAGGGAAUAAGGACCAAGAGGAAGUGCAUUAAUUUUCAACUUCACACGAAGCCACUGCCACGAGGAAUGACUGCCUUCUGUGCUGAUGACAGAUCUGCCCCUCUGUUAUCAGACACUGCAGUUUUGCCAUCUCAGUUUCAUAAGAGUUGCUCCUGCCUGGGAGCCAGUGGAGCAGCCAUGCUGGGCAAAGCAGCUCUCUGAGGAGGUGGAUGAUGGAUGACAGUGAUUCCCUUUGGCAUGGAUGGGGCACUGAGCUCCUCCUGUGCUCAGGGAAGAAGCAGAUCUGGCACUUCUACUACCCUGAGGUUCUGUGGGGCUCCAUGAAUGGGUUUGCAGUGAUGCAGCUCCACUGGCACAAAACUGGCGAUGUUCCAGCACAAAGCAAAGUCUGUCUGGAAGCAACUUGCUCUGAAAGGUGUCUGCAAGCAGAAGAGAUGCCCUUGUGGAGGCUCCUGCUGAGCUCUGAGCUGGAUGACCUCAGGUGCUCCUUUCCAGUGCACCUUCAGCUGCUCAAGUGCAGGUGAUGAAACCAUGCAGAGAAGAGAGUUCCAAGGAACCAUCUGAGGAGAUUCUUCAAGAGUGCUGACAGACAUUCUACUCAGUGCAGAAGAUCUCGUCCUGGCAACUGAUGGCUCUUAAUCCAAGGUGAGAUUGCCUUGAUUCAGCUCCAUUUAAACACAGCUGUACCAGGAAAAUUCUAUGCUUUGUCAGCAGUAGGGCAUCUAGUUUAUUUUGCCUGUACUGUGACACUUAGUAUGGGACACCUGCACAAAGCCUGGCAAAUCUUUGAAGUGAGACUUCUUGUCCCAAGGCCUUGUCCAUGUCUGUGCUGGGCAGGGUCUCCAGGGGCUCAGGGAGGCCCACCCUGCUUUCAGGCCUCACCUUGGGGAUGGAGGUGGAACUGUGCUGCACUCCCCUAGACCUUCUAAUAGACAACAGAGGGAAAUAAGCAC
rnacentral:lncRNA from 1 species